UACGGGGGGGGCAAGCGUUGUUCGGAAUUACUGGGCGUAAAGGGCUCGUAGGCGGCCAACUAAGUCGAACGUGAAAUCCCUCAGCUUAACUGGGGAACUGCGUCCGAUACUGAUUGGCUUGAAUCCGGAAGAGGGAUGCGGAAUUCCAGGUGUAGCGGUGAAAUGCGUAGAUAUCUGGAGGAACACCGGUGGCGAAGGCGGCAUCCUGGACCGACACUGACGCUGAGGAGCGAAAGCCAGGGGAGCAAACGGG
rnacentral:rRNA from 1 species